rnacentral:rRNA from 1 species
UACGUAGGGUGCGAGCGUUAAUCGGAAUUACUGGGCGUAAAGCGUGCGCAGGCGGUUCUGAAAGUCAGCUGUGAAAGCCCCGGGCUUAACCUGGGAAUGGCGGUUGAAACUACAAGGCUAGAGUGUGACAGAGGGGGGUGGAAUUCCACGUGUAGCAGUGAAAUGCGUAGAGAUGUGGAGGAACACCGAUGGCGAAGGCAGCCCCCUGGGUUAACACUGACGCUCAGGCACGAAAGCGUGGGGAGCAAACAGG